rnacentral:rRNA from 1 species
GAGUUUGAUCAUGGCUCAGAUUGAACGCUGGCGGCAUGCCUUACACAUGCAAGUCGAACGGCAGCACGGGAGCUUGCUCCUGGGUGGCGAGUGGCGAACGGGUGAGUAAUGCAUCGGAACGUAUCCUGGAGUGGGGGAUAACGUAGCGAAAGUUACGCUAAUACCGCAUAUUCUGUGAGCAGGAAAGCGGGGGACCUUCGGGCCUCGCGCUCUUGGAGCGGCCGAUGUCGGAUUAGCUAGUUGGUGAGGUAAAGGCUCACCAAGGCGACGAUCCGUAGCAGGUCUGAGAGGAUGAUCUGCCACGCUGGAACUGAGACACGGUCCAGACUCCUACGGAGGCAGCAGUGGGGAAUUUUGGAC